rnacentral:rRNA from 1 species
UACGGGGGGGGUAAGCGUUGUUCGGAAUUACUGGGCGUAAAGGGCUCGUAGGCGGCCAACUAAGUCAGACGUGAAAUCCCUCAGCUUAACCGGGGAACUGCGUCUGAUACUGGAUGGCUUGAGUUUGGGAGAGGGAUGCGGAAUUCCAGGUGUAGCGGUGAAAUGCGUAGAUAUCUGGAGGAACACCGGUGGCGAAGGCGGCAUCCUGGACCAACACUGACGCUGAGGAGCGAAAGCCAGGGGAGCAAACGGG